rnacentral:rRNA from 1 species
UACGGGGGGUGCAAGCGUUGCUCGGAAUCACUGGGCGUAAAGCGUCCGCAGGCGGCUUGAUAAGUCGGGUGUGAAAGCCCGGGGCCCAACCCCGGAACUGCAUUCGAAACUGUCUGGCUUGAGUACGGGAGAGGGUCGUGGAAUUCCUGGUGUAGAGGUGAAAUUCGUAGAUAUCUGGAGGAACACCGGUGGCGAAGGCGGCAUCCUGGACCAACACUGACGCUGAGGAGCGAAAGCCAGGGGAGCAAACGGG